GGGCACAUGGUGUAGUUGGUUAUCACGCCCGCUUAGCAUUUGGUUCUUCCCAAUGGAUUACUGCAGUUCGAUUCUGGGUGCGUCCA